UACGUAGGGUGCGAGCGUUGUCCGGAAUUAUUGGGCGUAAAGAGCUUGUAGGCGGUCUGUCGCGUCUGCUGUGAAAAUCCGGGGCUCAACCCCGGACUUGCAGUGGGUACGGGCAGACUAGAGUGUGGUAGGGGAGACUGGAAUUCCUGGUGUAGCGGUGAAAUGCGCAGAUAUCAGGAGGAACACCGAUGGCGAAGGCAGGUCUCUGGGCCACUA
rnacentral:rRNA from 1 species